AGCAGUAGCCGCGGGAAUACAGAGGGUGCGAGCGUUAAUCGGAUUUACUGGGCGUAAAGCGUGCGUAGGCGGCUUUUUAAGUCGGAUGUGAAAUCCCUGAGCUUAACUUAGGAAUUGCAUUCGAUACUGGGAAGCUAGAGUAUGGGAGAGGAUGGUAGAAUUCCAGGUGUAGCGGUGAAAUGCGUAGAGAUCUGGAGGAAUACCGAUGGCGAAGGCAGCCAUCUGGCCUAAUACUGACGCUGAGGUACGAAAGCAUGGGGAGCAAACAGGAUUAGAUACCCCCGUAGUCCCUGUCUCUUAUAU
rnacentral:rRNA from 1 species